rnacentral:rRNA from 1 species
GAUGAACGCUGGCGGCGUGCCUAAUACAUGCAAGUCGAGCGAACGGACGAGAAGCUUGCUUUUCUGAUGUUAGCGGCGGACGGGUGAGUAACACGUGGAUAACCUACCUAUAAGACUGGGAUAACUUCGGGAAACCGGAGCUAAUACCGGAUAAUAUUUUGAACCGCAUGGUUCAAAAGUGAAAGACGGUCUUGCUGUCACUUAUAGAUGGAUCCGCGCUGCAUUAGCUAGUUGGUAAGGUAACGGCUUACCAAGGCAACGAUGCAUAGCCGACCUGAGAGGGUGAUCGGCCACACUGGAACUUAGACACGGUCCAGACUCCUACGGGAGGCAGCAGUAGGGAAUCUUCCGCAAUGGGCGAAAGCCUGACGGAGCAACGCCGCGUGAGGUAUUAAGGUCUUCGGAUCGGAAAACUCUUUUAUUAGGGAAGAACAUAUGUGUAAGUAACUGUGCACAUCUUGACGGUACCUAAUCAGAAAGCCACGGCUAACUACGUG